CAUUGUUGAGUCCUUUGAAGUGUAGGGUUUGUGCCUUUGUCCUUUGCCCUUUGAUGCUGGCAACAAGACUUUGUUGUAAUGUGCUCAAGGACCUUUUGGGACAAGGGGGAUGCCCUUCUACUUUCAAAUCUGCUCACUUCAUUCUUUUUAACACCUGUGCACUUAUAAGCAAAAGGUCUCAUUUGCAUUUAGGGGGGUUUAGUCUUUGUGGUUGAAUACUAUUGCGUAUUGUAUGCACCCUAGUAGUUAGCCCUUUCUGGGCUUUGGGGGGGUUGCAACAUUUAUUGUGGGUCCCUAAGUGAAGAUCUGCGAAGGGGAUCGACAUAUCCCAAAGUGGGAAAAGUAGUGAAGGGAUUUGCAAUGCGCAAUUGUAUGUAUUCUUCAAGGGUGUGCCCCCGGGUGAAAUGCAGGCUUUUUACAAUACAUAUAAACUCCAAAUUGUCUUGUAGAAUGAAAUGCUCUAAUUGUGAGCAAAGUGUAUGCAAAUACAACUUUCAACAAUGGAUCUCUUGGCUCUCGCAUCGAUGAAGAACGCAGCGAAAUGCGAUAAGUAAUGUGAAUUGCAGAAUUCAGUGAAUCAUCGAAUCUUUGAACGCACCUUGUGCUCCUUGGGUCACCUAUGGAGCAUACCUGUUUGAGUGUCAUAUUGAUCUCAAUUCCCCUCAGGUUUUCUUAUGAGACCUGUUUGGGUGAAUUGGAUUUGGAGGUUGAAUGCUGGUUAUGUUGCCAUUCCUAUGGUGCGAGGUCAGCUCCUCUUAAAAGUAUUAGCUGGAGGAUGAAGCAAAGCUAAAGGUCCCCCCCUUUAGCACUGAUCAUUUGCUAUGGUGUAAUAAUAAAUUCCAUCAUGGCUUUGAAUUUGAUCAGUGUGUAUGAUUUGGGGGGGACUACUUUGUAGCAUUCUCUGCUUCUAACUGUCGGGCUUUAUGCUUGACAACUUUUUAUUCUCUUUGGCCUCAAAUCAGGUAGGACUACCCGCUGAACUUAA
rnacentral:rRNA from 1 species